rnacentral:rRNA from 1 species
UACGUAGGGUGCAAGCGUUGUCCGGAAUUAUUGGGCGUAAAGAGCUUGUAGGCGGUUUGUCGCGUCUGCUGUGAAAUUUCGGGGCUCAACCCCGAACUUGCAGUGGGUACGGGCAGACUAGAGUGUGGUAGGGGAGACUGGAAUUCCUGGUGUAGCGGUGAAAUGCGCAGAUAUCAGGAGGAACACCGAUGGCGAAGGCGGCUCUCUGGACCACUACUGACGCUGAGGCGCGAAAGCUAGGGGAGCAAACAGG